rnacentral:rRNA from 1 species
GUAGGUGGCAAGCGUUGUCCGGAAUUAUUGGGCGUAAAGCGCGCGCAGGCGGGUUCUUUAAGUCUGAUGUGAAAGCCCACGGGCUCAACCGUGGAGGGUCAUUGGAAACUGGAGAACUUGAGUACAGAAGAGGAAAGCGGAAUUCCACGUGUAGCGGUGAAAUGCGUAGAGAUGUGGAGGAACACCAGUGGCGAAGACGGCUUUCUGGUCUGUAACUGACGCUGAGGCGCGAAAACGUGGGGAGCAAACAGGAUUAGAUACCCUGGUAGUCCACGCCGUAAACGAUGAGUGCUAAGUGUUAGGGGGUUUCCGCCCCUUAGUGCUGCAGCUAACGCAUUAAGCACUCCGCCUGGGGAGUACGGCCGCAAGGCUG